rnacentral:rRNA from 1 species
GGAUUAGAUACCCUGGUAGUCCACGCUGUAAACGGUGCACACUAGGUGUGGGGGGUAUCGACCCCUCCCGUGCCGACGUUAACACAUUAAGUGUGCCGCCUGGGGAGUACGGCCGCAAGGUUGAAACUCAAAGGAAUUGACGGGGGCCCGCACAAGCGGUGGAGGAUGUUGUUUAAUUCGAAGCAACGCGAAGAACCUUACCUGGGCUUGAACUGAUAUUUAUAAUUCGGUGAAAGUCGAUGGCCCUUCGGGGCAGAUAUUAGAGGUGCUGCAUGGCUGUCGUCAGCUCGUGCCG